rnacentral:rRNA from 1 species
UACGUAGGGGGCUAGCGUUGUUCGGAAUUACGGGGCGUAAAGGGAGUGUCGGCGGGGAGAUAAGUUAGGAGUUUAAUUCACAGGCUCAACCUGUGGCCUGCUCUUAAUACUGUCUCUCUUGAGUAUGGGAGAGGGUGAUGGCAUUCCAGGUGUAGCGGUGGAAUGCGUAGAUAUCUGGAAGAACACCGGUUGCGAAGGCGGUCGCCUGGCCCAAUGCUGACGCUGAGGCUCGAAAGCUAGGGGAGCGAAUAGU